CAGCAAGGCACCACCCUGACCCGAGGAAGGUCUUCUUGGACCUAGCUCUCAUGCCUUCCGCUCCAGUGGGAGCCUGACUCCUCUUCACGGGAUCAGUGAAGGUGGGGCUGGCAGGGCCUCAGCACCUGUCCACCACCGGCAUGGCACCUGGCCCUCUCUGGCUCUGAAGGCUCCUUUUAACAUCACAUAUGUCAGAACUCAUUCGUUCAGUAUCCUUUGAGAGCAUAUAUUUUUACUAUGAAUUCAGCACUAUUUUGAAAUAGAAUUGCAUUUUAUAAUCACACGCAUUUGGAAAAGGUAACUCGUAUAUAUGAAACACAUACUAUUUAUUCAAUCUGCGGACCUUUGUGCACACUUGGAUGCUUGGAACCCUUGUACUAACGCAACACCGCCCUAACGGAGGGAGGCCCUUCAGCCUCAGGUCUCAAACUGCUGCCAACCAGCCUCUUCCCCUGUUGGACGCCUCUGUGUCUUGGGCAGGGCUCACCCUCCCCAGCUGAGACUCCCCGCUGCACGGACCCUCUGAGGGCUGUCACCACCAGUCUUCCCUGCCUUUGUGUCCAUCACAUUCAGUCCUGGCAGGCCUUCAACGGAUGUGACCAGAACUGAAAUGAGUUUGCUCUCGUCUGGCCUUCCGGGAUGCAAAGCACCAGCCCUGAUCAGCCUGCCCUCACUCUCUCUGUUCAUGCAAUGAACAGUUAUUGAGCACUUACUGUUUACCAAGCAUGGUCCUAGGCACCAGGAAUGCAGUAGUGUACAAAACAGAUGAAGUCCCAGCUCUUCUAGAGCUCACCUUCCAGUGGGGGACAGACAUUAAAGAAAUAAAUAUACGUUGUGUCAGACAAUGAAAGAUGCUACGAAAUAAAUGCAGCAGGAAAAGGAGGGUAGACAUGACCAGGGGGGCUAUUUCAUAGAGGGUGGUCCAAGUGGACCUGAGCAGAUACUUGAAUGCAGUGAAGGAGCAAGGCAUGCAGAUAUCUGGGUAAAGGGUGUCCUGAGCAGAGGAAACCACCAGUGCAAAGGCCCUGAGGCAGGCGUCUAAGGAACGUUUGAGGAACAGUGUGGGGCUGGCAUAGCUGAAGCAGAGUGAGGAAGGAGGAGAGGCUUCAGAGCUGAUGGGAGACAGAUCACCCAAGCCUGUAUGACGCUGAAUAAAGCUGGCUUUUUCUCUGAGAGGCGAGGUCAUUGAAGGGUUUCAGCAAAGGGGAGACACGAGUGGACCUUUAAAAGGAUGAGUCCGGCUGCUGUGCGGAGGACAGAUUACAGGGGUCAAGGGACAACAUGCUGAGACCCCCUCCACCUUCCUUACCUCCAGGACAGAAACUUGCCUUCUGGUUUUAAAUGACUCAUUUCCACAUCCCACUGAAAGAAUAAACUGAAGAAACAGUGACCACAAGACGUUACAGAGAAGAUACACAGAAGAAUAGAAGUGAAGGCGAGGCUCACCCUGAACAGGCCUGUAUCUACAUAAGAUUCCUCUGCGUGGCAGGAGCUCUCCACCGUGUUUGCGCUGAUCGUGUUUGUCUGGUGGUUCCUCCUUGAAUCCGAGGCCAUAAAUAGCAGAAAUCACACCUUGUCUCACUGGGAGAUUCCCCCAAAAAAC
ensembl:lncRNA